AUUGAACGCUGGCGGCAGGCCUAACACAUGCAAGUCGAACGGUAACAGGAAACAGCUUGCUGUUUCGCUGACGAGUGGCGGACGGGUGAGUAAUGUCUGGGAAACUGCCUGAUGGAGGGGGAUAACUACUGGAAACGGUAGCUAAUACCGCAUAACGUCGCAAGACCAAAGAGGGGGACCUUCGGGCCUCUUGCCAUCGGAUGUGCCCAGAUGGGAUUAGCUAGUAGGUGGGGUAACGGCUCACCUAGGCGACGAUCCCUAGCUGGUCUGAGAGGAUGACCAGCCACACUGGAACUGAGACACGGUCCAGACUCCUACGGGAGGCAGCAGUGGGGAAUAUUGCACGAUGGGCGCAAGCCUGAUGCAGCCAUGCCGCGUGUAUGAAGAAGGCCUUCGGGUUGUAAAGUACUUUCAGCGGGGAGGAAGGGAGUAAAGUUAAUACCUUGACUCAUUGACGUUACCCGCAGAAGAAGCACCGGCUAACUCCGUG
rnacentral:rRNA from 1 species